rnacentral:rRNA from 1 species
UACGUAGGUGGCAAGCGUUGUCCGGAUUUAUUGGGCGUAAAGGGCGCGUAGGCGGCUCUGCACGUCCGUUGUGAAAGCCCCCGGCUCAACUGGGGAGGGUCACGCGAUACUGAUCGACUCGAAGGCAGGAGAGGGAAGUGGAAUUCCCGGUGGUAGUGGUGAAAUGCGUAGAGAUCCGGAGGAACACCAGUGGCGAAGGCGACUUCUGGCCUGUUCUUGACGCUGAGGCGCGAAAGCUA